AGCGAACGCUGGCGGCAGGCUUAACACAUGCAAGUCGAGCGGGCACUUUCGGGUGUCAGCGGCGGACGGGUGAGUAACGCGUGGGAACGUGCCCUCUGGUUCGGAAUAACUCAGGGAAACUUGAGCUAAUACCGGAUACGCCCUUUUGGGGAAAGGCUUGCUGCCGGAGGAUCGGCCCGCGUCUGAUUAGCUAGUUGGUGAGGUAACGGCUCACCAAGGUGACGAUCAGUAGCUGGUCUGAGAGGAUGAUCAGCCACACUGGGACUGAGACACGGCCCAGACUCCUACGGGAGGCAGCAGUGGGGAAUAUUGGACAAUGGGCGCAAGCCUGAUCCAGCCAUGCCGCGUGAGUGAUCAAGGCCUUAGGGUUGUAAAGCUCUUUUAUCCGGGACGAUAAUGACGGUACCGGAGGAAUAAGCCCCGGCUAACUUCGUG
rnacentral:rRNA from 1 species